UGUUGAUUCGAUAAAUAAUCGUUACUACUGAUAAAAGCGUUUUUUAUUAUGUUGCUAAUUCUAUGUACGUACACAUAUUGAAUAAUGACUAUCAGCUCGUACUAAAAAGUAAAUGUGCAUGGUAAUAAUGAUAUACCGAACUAAGCGUUCAAAGUUCUAUCAAGAUGACCGCUGAUAUGCACUUAUUAAGAAUAGCCGAGGGGACAUUCACUUGACAAUUAAAGAAUUGUUCAAGGAUUCAAGAAAAAGGCAAAAAUUAUAAAACGUGUAAAGUGUUCACGAUGCAUUUGCAUUGCACGCAAUUGCAAUUUAUCUCCGUACAGCGCAUUCGAAACUUCUCUGCGCUAACAUUCUU